rnacentral:rRNA from 1 species
UGGGGAAUUUUGGACAAUGGGCGAAAGCCUGAUCCAGCAAUGCCGCGUGUGUGAAGAAGGCCUUCGGGUUGUAAAGCACUUUUGUCCGGAAAGAAAUCCUUGGCUCUAAUACAGUCGGGGGAUGACGGUACCGGAAGAAUAAGCACCGGCUAACUACGUGCCAGCAGCCGCGGUAAUACGUAGGGUGCAAGCGUUAAUCGGAAUUACUGGGCGUAAAGCGUGCGCAGGCGGUUUGCUAAGACCGAUGUGAAAUCCCCGGGCUCAACCUGGGAACUGCAUGGUGACUGGCAGGCUAGAGUAUGGCAGAGGGGGGUAGAAUUCCACGUGUAGCAGUGAAAUGCGUAGAGAUGUGGAGGAAUACCGAUGGCGAAGGCAGCCCCCUGGGCCAAGUACUGACGCUCAUGCACGAAAGCGUGGGGAGCAAACAGGAUUAGAUACCCUGGUAGUCCACGCCCUAAACGAUGUCAACUAGUUGUUGGGGAUUCAUUUCCUUAGUAACGUAGCUAACGCGUGAAGUUGACCGCCUGGGGAGUACGGUCGCAAGAUUAAAACUCAAAUGAAUUGACGGGGUCAUAGCUGUUUCCU